GGUAAAAUGGCCGAGUGUUUAGGCGGUGGGCUGUAGUCCUACUUAUAGGGGUUUAACUCCUCUUUUUACCA
rnacentral:tRNA from 1 species